rnacentral:misc_RNA from 1 species
GAUGAAGAACGCAGUGAAAUGCGAUACUUGGUGUGAAUUGCAGAAUCCCGUGAACCAUCGAGUCUUUGAACGCAAGUUGCGCCCGAAGCCAUUAGGCCGAGGGCACGCCUGCCUGGGCGUCACACGUCGUUGCCCCCCCAUCUACUCCUUCGGGAUUGCGGGGGGUGGAUGAUGGCCUCCCGUGCGCCUCGCCGCGCGGUUGGCAUAAAUGCCAAGUCCUCGGCGACGCACGCCACGACAAUCGGUGGUUGCGAAACCUCGGUUGCCCGUCGUGUGCGGUCGUCGCGCAUCGAGGGCUCGAAAAAAUUGCCGGGUUCCGGCUCGGCUUUCAACGCGACCCCAGGUCAGGCGGGGUUACCCGCUGAAUUUAAGCAUAUCAAUAAGCGGAGGA